rnacentral:rRNA from 1 species
AUUGAACGCUGGCGGCAGGCCUAACACAUGCAAGUCGAACGAGUGGCGGACGGGUGAGUAAUGUCUGGGAAACUGCCCGAUGGAGGGGGAUAACUACUGGAAACGGUAGCUGAUACCGUCUACCAUCGGCUGUGCCCAGAUGGGUUUAGCUAGUGGGUGGGGUAACGGCUCACCUAGGCGACGAUCCCUAGCUGGUCUGAGAGGAUGACCAGCCACACUGGAACUGAGACACGGUCCAGACUCCUACGGGAGGCAGCAGUGGGGAAUAUUGCACAAUGGGCGAAAGCCUGAUGCAGCCAUGCCGCGUGUGUGAAGAAGGCCUUCGGGUUGUAAAGUACUUUCAGCGGGGAGGCGUUACUCGCAGAAUAAGCACCGGCUAACUCCGUGCCAGCAGCCGCGGUAAUAC